CCUUGACGUACAGCGGUGACGCAGGAUGAUACAAAAGAGGGUUGAGGAGGUGUAACUCCCUGAAGUGGAAGCCACCAUGUUUAUAUAUUAUACUAGCGUAGAGAUCCCCUUCAUACUCCUGGGAUUGGCUCUCUCUCUCAUGGUCUGCUGUUUGAAGAAAAACAUCAAGCCAGAGGUUGAGGAGACCCUGGAACAGGACCAACGUUCCCCCAUGUACAUCAGCCCCCUGUUCGAGGAGGGGGGCGUGGAGGCCCUCCAGGGAGGCAGGGUCUCUGAGCUUCACGGCCCACCUGCCUACGCUCUGCAGGACCACAACCCACCACCGCCCUAUUGGGAAGCCUCCUAGUUCUACUCAGAAGCACAUCAUUCACACCGCAAACGCAGAUUGGACAGAACAACAAUGACAUCAUCAACACGCGCCACACACCCUAUGCUCCACAUGCAUAGGAUGGAUUUUAAAGUUAAACUAUGUUUAUUUAAUAUGAUGUAAUACCGUACUUCUACGUUUUUUGUGUAUUUUAUAAAGAAAUGUUUAGUCCAAUUAAAUGAUAUACAAAAUAUACCAGUUUUUUUGUGCGGUCCUGAAACCUUAUAAAAAUAAAUCGGGUAUAAAUGCAGAAUAAUAAAAUAAACAAAAACAAUGAAAUUAUAAUUAUGAAAGUUUACAAUAAAAGCAGUCACAAAAUCUUUGUUGAACAUUAAGAGGGUUCUGUAAUAUUACACUCAGGAAAAUAAGCGAAAAUAAGGAAUUAUGAACUAAGACUUAAUACCUAACUACAGUCCAAAAUCUUUACGUAAGGUCAACUUUACAAAUGUCUUUUCUUAAAAGACAUUUGUAGUGUACUUAAAAGUAAAACUUAAAGGAAAAUAUUUACGAGGAUUUGACUUAGUUGACUUAGUUU
ensembl:lncRNA